GACAAAACUGCGCCCUCCGUUCCAGAUGACUGCCCGUACGGUGACCAGCCCGGUGUAGUCACUAACGGGUACACCUGUGCUCAGAUCGGUACGGACGCCCACAAACACAGGUGCUAUGAUGCUCACACCAAAAAGCGGUGCUGUGCCUCGUGUGCUGCUGUUGCAAACAAUGCUAGAUCAGGCUGCGAAUGGGGAGACGAAUCCACGACCUGCCAUCAUAACUCAUGCUCCCACUACAACGCCGACAAGCUACGGAGGUGUUGUCAGACCUGCGGUGGAACUGCCAUAGUCGGGAAAUAAUGUUUUACCGGGCUGUAACACAUCGAGUUGUAUGAGUACUAGAAAUAAAAUAAACAACCGCAGCUA